AACCAACAGGGAUUGCCCUAGUAACGGCGAGUGAAGCGGCAACAGCUCAAAUUUGAAAUCUGGCUCUUUCAGGGUCCGAGUUGUAAUUUGCAGAGGGCGCUUUGGCGUUGGCAGCGGUCCAAGUUCUUUGGAACAGGACGUCACAGAGGGUGAGAAUCCCGUACGUGGUCGCUAGCCUUGGCCGUGUAAAGCCCCUUCGACGAGUCGAGUUGUUUGGGAAUGCAGCUCUAAAUGGGAGGUAAAUUUCUUCUAAAGCUAAAUACUGGCCAGAGACCGAUAGCGCACAAGUAGAGUGAUCGAAAGAUGAAAAGCACUUUGGAAAGAGAGUCAAAUAGCACGUGAAAUUGUUGAAAGGGAAGCGCUUGCAGCCAGACUUGCCUGUAGUUGCUUAUCUGGACUUUUGUCCAGUGCACUCUUCUGCGGGCAGGCCAGCAUCAGUUUGGGCGGUUGGAUAAAGGUCUCUAUCACGUACCUCCUUUCGGGGAGGCCUUAUAGGGGAGGCGACAUGCAACCAGCCUGGACUGAGGUCCGCGCAUCUGCUAGGAUGCUGGCGUAAUGGCUGUAAGCGGCCCGUCUUGAAACACGGACCAAGGAGUCUAACAUCUAUGCGAGUGUUUGGGUGUCAAGCCCAGACGCGUAAUGAAAGUGAACGGAGGUGGGAACCUUUUAGGUGCACCAUCGACCGAUCCUGAUGUCUUCGGAAGGAUUUGAGUAAGAGCAUAGCUGUUGGGACCCGAAAGAUGGUGAACUAUGCUUGAAUAGGGUGAAGCCAGAGGAAACUCUGGUGGAGGCUCGCAGCGGUUCUGACGUGCAAAUCGAUCGUCAAAUUUGGG
rnacentral:rRNA from 2 species